UACGGAGGGUGCAAGCGUUAUCCGGAUUCACUGGGUUUAAAGGGUGCGUAGGCGGUCAUGUAAGUCAGCGGUGAAAUCCGGCAGCUCAACUGUCGAUGUGCCAUUGAUACUGCAUGACUUGAGUACUGAUGAGGUAGGCGGAAUUGACGGUGUAGCGGUGAAAUGCUUAGAUAUCGUCAAGAACACCGAUAGCGAAGGCAGCUUACUAAAGAGUAACUGACGCUGAGGCACGAAAGUGUGGGGAUCAAACAGG
rnacentral:rRNA from 1 species